AUUGAACGCUGGCGGCAUGCUUUACACAUGCAAGUCGAACGGUAACAGGCCGCAAGGUGCUGACGAGUGGCGAACGGGUGAGUAAUGCAUCGGAACGUGCCCAGUCGUGGGGGAUAACGCAGCGAAAGCUGUGCUAAUACCGCAUACGAUCUAUGGAUGAAAGCGGGGGACCGUAAGGCCUCGCGCGAUUGGAGCGGCCGAUGUCAGAUUAGGUAGUUGGUGGGGUAAAGGCCCACCAAGCCAACGAGCUGUAGCUGGUCUGAGAGGACGACCAGCCACACUGGGACUGAGACACGGCCCAGACUCCUACGGGAGGCAGCAGUGGGGAAUUUUGGACAAUGGGCGCAAGCCUGAUCCAGCAAUGCCGCGUGCAGGAAGAAGGCCUUCGGGUUGUAAACUGCUUUUGUACGGAACGAAACGGUCUGGGUUAAUACCUCGGGCUAAUGACGGUACCGUAAGAAUAAGCACCGGCUAACUACGUGCCAGCCGCCGCGGUAAUAC
rnacentral:rRNA from 1 species